GACGUUUGAGUGAAAUCCAAUGGCUAAAACUAUGCAAUACACCAACCACACAAUUUGAGAACGAACUUCUUACGAACCUGAAUUGUCCAAUUUCAUGGACUAAUUGAUAUCGGAUUGGGUCCACAACUUGGGGAACAUCAUAAUAUGGUGGGCGGAGACGUUUGGUAACUUUUGAGUGAAAUCCAAUGGCUAAAACUACG
rnacentral:lncRNA from 1 species